CGCUUUCAUUCUUCUGUUUCUCUCUUUCUUUCUGGUUUUCUUCCCUUUUUCUUCCUUUCCAAAAAAAAAAAAAAAAAAAAAAAAAGGGUCCUGGUCUCCAGAGAGCUCUAAUGUGAAGAGUCCUGGGAUGCUGGAAAGGCUGGACCUAAGACUAUCAAGUGCAACCAAACAGGUGAAGAUUCCAAUCCCAGCCUUGGAUGGUGGUGCAUCCCUUUGAUGUCUUCUCUUGGGUGGCAGAGGCAGGCAGAUCUCUGUGAGUUUGACGCCAGCCCGAGAUCGACACAAGUGAGUUCUAGGACAGCCAAAGCUGGAUGGUGAAACCCAAGCUCCAAAACCAAAACCAGAAGUUACAGUAACAGCAGCCACUGUUCAACACGCAAGCAUCUUCCAGCGUCCACAGCUGGGUUCCUUGGACACUCCACAGUGUCAUGGGAGGUGGGUGUGUGACCAGCCUGGUGAGGACUUAUUUGGUGUCGAUUAAAUAUCUUGUCCAUGAUCA
rnacentral:lncRNA from 1 species